CACAAAUUUCAAAAUUAUUACACUAAAGUAGAAAAAAAUAUGAAUCAAAUUUCCAAGUGUGUUUAUUAUUUAAUAGUAUCUCUUUGUUUGUUUCUUGUAAAGGUCAAAAUCGAAUGGCGUAUAUCACCCCACCCAUAUUUUCCAUCCCCUUGCCAAACUGACCAUGAUUGUUUAAACAAAGUGUGUAAGAGACCUUUAAAACAUAAAUGCAUUUCUUCUAGAUGUGAGUGUGUAGAGAAAAUUUGAAAAAUAAUUAUUUAUUAUCUCAAAGAGAUUUAAUUUUAUUUGUAAAUGAGGUAAUGAGACAUAUUAAUUUGAGAUCUUGUGCUAUCAGGUUAUAUCCUUCAUGUACUUUGGUGUAAUUCAAUUUUUUAUUGCUAUAUUAUUUAUUUUUUAAAUAUA